rnacentral:rRNA from 1 species
GACGAACGCUGGCGGCGUGCCUAAUACAUGCAAGUCGAACGCUGAAGGAGGAGCUUGCUUCUCUGGAUGAGUUGCGAACGGGUGAGUAACGCGUAGGUAACCUGCCUGGUAGCGGGGGAUAACUAUUGGAAACGAUAGCUAAUACCGCAUAAUAGCAGUUGUUGCAUGACAACUGUUUGAAAGUUGCAAUUGCCCCACUACCAGAUGGACCUGCGUUGUAUUAGCUAGUUGGUGGGGUAACGGCUCACCAAGGCGACGAUACAUAGCCGACCUGAGAGGGUGAUCGGCCACACUGGGACGGGGACACGGCCCAGACGCCUACGGGAGGCAGCAGGAGGGAAUCGGGGGCAAUGGACGGAAGUCUGACCGAGAAACGCCGCGGGAGGGAAGAAGGUUUUCGGGUCGUAAAGCUCUGUUGUAAGGGAAGAACGAGUGUGAGAGUGGAAAGUUCACACUGUGACGGUAUCUUACCAGAAAGGGACGGCUAACUACGUG